GGCCCUUUUCGCCGAGGGAUCGGGUUAAAGGGAGGCUAAGAAAGUCGCAUAACAAUUGAAUCAAUCUAAUAAUCAAGGGUAGUAUGUAAGAGAGAGUGGAAUAGAUGAAAUUAUUAGUACCUAACAACAUCCAUCCAUCCAUUGUUUUCACUUGUCAAUUGAAUCAACAUUUAUUUUGCAUGUUAAUAUUUUUAUCCUCAAAUCCAAUUUAUUAAAUUUUAUUUUUCAAGUCUUAUUAUUUUAAUUCACGCGAAAGAGAAAGCCAUACGAGUCUCUUGGGAAAAACGAUACUUGGUCUUACCAUUUAUAUUACUUGUACGAUUUGGUACACUUGUCAAUCCGUCAACACUUCUCCACGUCUCAACUAGUUUCCUUCCAAUGGAAGGUCGUCUGAGUUAGUCUUGACCUCAUCCGGGAGCUCUUCCACCACCAACUUCAUCCAUUGAACAUUUUCAUUCACACCUAACCUUGAUUCCUCGCAUCACAUCGUUGCUAUUUCAUUAAGUUCCUCCGUUGCCGCCUCUCAGUUCAUCACACAACUCACCUGCACCGCAUCUCCAAUUCAAACCGCACCUCAAUUUUCCGCAUCUCAGAUUGCAACCGCCAUUCAUUUCCACCGCAUCUCACCUCUAUUGUUUUCCAUAUCAUGUCCGCUGCUGCUUCAU
rnacentral:lncRNA from 1 species